CAGACAAGAUUUAUAAUAGUCCCUUAUAAUAGAAAUAUUAUAAGUAAACCUCUUUAACUGCUGGAAAAUCCUUUAAGGACAAUCAGCAUCCAAGACUCAUUAGAGUAAGGUUCAACGACUAUCGAAACCACUCUAACAGAUCGUUGUGAUAACGCUAGUUAGAAGGAAGGGAGUAGAGUACAACUCAAGCGAUUGGAGUUGGAAAUGGGAGGCAUCCUAAUAGGAUGAUGAUAUAGUCUCAUCUUCAUGGUAACAUGAAG
rnacentral:ncRNA from 1 species